rnacentral:tRNA from 1 species
AAGGGAGACCUAAUUCAGGUAAAAGACGAAAAAAAGUAGUCGCUACCAAGAAUCAAUCCCAAAAGGUCGGAGCGAGGCGAAAUUGGCUUUCAAACUAGGUUCUGGGUUCAAACAAGACCUGAAUCAGGAACAAGGGCUAUUAGCUCAGGUGGUUAGAGCGCACCCCUGAUAAGGGUGAGGUCCCUGGUUCGAGUCCAGGAUGGCCCACCUGCACAGGUGGCAAAAACAAGAGAAGCGAGGAAUCAGCACCUUAUCUUACUUAUAUAAUAAGAGAGAAUGCUGGCUCUGAGUAAAGAGUCCAGAGGAACCUUGAAAACUGCAUAGAGCUAGGUGAAAAAGCCAAAAAAGAAGACCGCAAGGUCAAGCUAAUAAGGGCUAACGGUGGAUACCUAGGCAC